rnacentral:rRNA from 1 species
CGAAGGGGCUUCGGCCCUGAGUAGAGUGGCGAACGGGUGAGUAACACGUGGGUGACCUACCCUCGAGUGGGGGAUAACAUCCCGAAAGGGGUGCUAAUACCGCAUGACAUCCUGCCUUUGAACAGGCGGACAUUAAAGCCGGGGAUCGCAAGACCUGGCGCUCGAGGAGGGGCUCGCGUCCGAUUAGCUAGUUGGUGGGGUAAAGGCCUACCAAGGCGACGAUCGGUAGCCGGCCUGAGAGGGCGGACGGCCACACUGGGACUGAGACACGGCCCAGACUCCUACGGGAGGCAGCAGUGGGGAAUUGUUCGCAAUGGGCGCAAGCCUGACGACGCAACGCCGCGUGGAGGACGAAGAUCUUCGGGUCGUAAACUCCUUUCGAUCGGAACGAAUGGCUGGCGGUCUAAUACACCGCCGGAGUGACGGUACCGAGAGAAGAAGCCCCGGCUAACUCCGUGCCAGCAGCCGCGGUAAUACGGGGGGGGCAAGCGUUGUUCGGAAUUACUGGGCGUAAAGGGCGCGUAGGCGGCCUGCUAAGUCGGAUGUGAAAUCCCUCGGCUCAACCGAGGAACUGCAUCCGAUACUGGCGGGCUUGAAUCCGGGAGAGGGAUGUGGAAUUCCAGGUGUAGCGGUGAAAUGCGUAGAUAUCUGGAGGAACACCGGUGGCGAAGGCGGCAUCCUGGACCGGUAUUGACGCUGAGGCGCGAAAGCUAGGGGAGCAAACGGGAUUAGAUACCCCGGUAGUCCUAGCCCUAAACGAUGAGUGCUU